CAGGAAGAGUGGGAAGAGGAAAGGAAGAGGUUACAGCAUGGAAACAGACAGAGGUGGCGCCCGGAGCAGCACUAUGGAGCUGUAUAUAACACUAUUCCAGAUUGUCACAGCUCUUUCAUGAAUCCAGCUGUGGGCUACCUCUCACAAGCAGUAUCUAUAUCAACGUUGGGUCUGCUUUUCAACACUGCCAAGGAACACACCGAGAAAACCCUUCAGAAGACUUUCUGGAAUAAGAAGCUAUUUCUGACCAAAUCCAAUUCUGUCAUGUAAACUUAUGGGAAUCACCUUCUUGGACACUCAACCGCUCUGUAAAAAUGUUUUUAAGCACCGUCUUCCCAUUGUGCAAUCCGAAGCCAGACGUGUUUCCAUUAGGAACUCGACUCAUGGCAGUAUCAUAUCCGGGACACAGGAUGUGACCAAUGGAGGGGAACCAAUGUCAUUAACAGACGGCUUAGUAAAGCCGCUGCGGCAGGCACCUGUGCUGGGAAAAGACAGCGGGGAAAGGACUCUCCCACGUGAUUGGAACAACUCCAGAAACGAACGUCAAGGGAUGGAAGUCGGAAAACGCCUUGUCUUUUCAUCUGGGUGGCUAAAAGCGGAAGAGAGGAAGUACGGUGUGUGAGAAGGAAGAAUAAGAGACAGACAGUAGAAAGAAAGAAAGAAAGAAAGAAAGAAAGAAAGAAAGAAAGAAAGAAAGAAGUGGUGAUUGUAAAACAUUUUCAGGAGAGGGAAGAAAGGUGUGGGAUAGAGAGUGAAACUGGAUAAAUGAGGGAUGGGGGAUCUGGGAAAUGGUUAUGGUGGUUAUGGAUUACCAUGACAACUCCUGCUGUAUCCCAAGUGUUUUUAUGUUCGACUGCUCUCUGCUGGAUCCAGUCGGAUGACUUAAGCCACGCCAAGUCUCCUGAGAUAUCUACAUUAUUGGAAUUACCAUCAUUUUCCACAGGACCAGUGUACAUACGUAUCCUGCAGUUUUCCCGCUGCUGGAAACGCCACACUGAAGCUGUAAACAGCUCGGAUAUUGACAGGUGCGACUGGAAAUUGCUGUUGUUUGAGAGUUAACAUGUUCCUGCAAGAAAAAAAAGAAAAGAAUCACACUGAAAUUGUACAUCAACAGGCAUGUAAUCAUUAAAUUGAUGCAAGUAUUGGCAAA